ensembl:lncRNA
AAGAAAUUACCAACAUGAUUUUGAAAACAUUCUGUCCAUCUCUGAAGUCAUGCUGGGCAGUCUUUUUCUGUGCACUGAAAAUAGGUUGUGGCAGAAGGCCAAAAUGGAUGAACAAGGGUAUCCUGGUGGAGCUCAAACACAGAAGAAAAUGCAAGGUGGAAUUCCCAGGAACAGUAACUGGGACCACAGAGAAACUGAACAGCAGAGCAAGUAAUAGAGCUGCAAAGGAUCCCAGUUUCCUUCUUGAACAAUAUGGAUUACCUUGGAUUCAAACGAAGACCUGUUCAGUGUUGAAGGCCAGAGACAGGAACAAGGCAUAGAGUAAUGCAGCAGCUCCCCAAAAUGAACGUGAUAAUUACUCUAGAUUGGAUUGAUCUGCAUUUACUAAUGCAAAAAAUGUAAUUCCCUGACUUUUCUGGGCAGUCUGUUUCCCCAAGUAAUGAAAAAAAUGUUAUAAUACUGCAAAGAAAGACCUUUUUAAAUAUUAUUUUUAUACACAUUCCAACAAAAUUGGCAGUAGUUGUUGGAGUAAUACACUAAUGUUCUAUCUUAAUCACUAUUUUUAAAGUUCUAAGCAUAGAUAAUCAUACCUUGUAAAGCCACAAUUAAUACAUAUAAUUAUUCAUAGUGGGUUUUUUUAAUAUACAUUUUUCAGUUUCCU